UGGAGUCUUUGGAGGUCACUAUUUUGUGACUUGGAGAAAAAGAAGAAAGUGGAUUCUACCACCAUCCUUUUGGUGGAAUACUUAGGUCAGGCUCAAGUUGUGCUAUAAGAGUGAGUUCCCCUCCAUCUUUCUCUUCUUACUUUCUUGCAAAGUAGUUAAUGUAGCAAAUCAACCCUCUUGAGGUUUCUUGCAAAGUUUUCUUGUAACAUUGUGUUUGUCAAUUAAUUUAUUGAUCACAAAUAUAUUUUCUAAUGCUUUUCAAUUUGUGUAAUCUUUUUUUCUUUUUCUUUUUUUUUUAUUAAUUUUUUUUUUUUUGGGUAAGGAUGAUCUUUGAAUUAAAGCAUAGAUGGCUUGGAUUAUAAUAUUUGUAGUGAACUUUAUAAGGUGUCCAUCAAAAAUAGUUAUUUAAGGAAUCCAUCGAUAGGGGAUUGAUAUAGUCAAUAUUUUCAUUCUAUAAUUAAAAAAAACAAAAAUUGAAAAAAGAAAAAGAAAAUCAAUUGGCAGCGUGUGCCAAUGGGCUAAUAUAUAGUUAAUCAAUAAGUGAUAAUUAACUUAGGGCUCGUUUGGUACGUCGGACUGUACUGACUAAUUUCUGUCGGAUAGUAUUAAUCUGUUCCGGAGAGUACUGACUAUUUAUCGAUAAUAUUAUAAGGCGUUUGGUGUUGUUCCG
rnacentral:lncRNA from 1 species